rnacentral:rRNA from 1 species
CAUGAAUGGUGUAACGACUUCCCCGCUGUCUCCAACAUCACCUCAGUGAAAUUGAAAUACCCGUGAAGAUGCGGGUUAUCUGCAGCUAGACGGAAAGACCCCGUGCACCUUUACUAUACCUAAACAUUGAAGAACUCACGAUCAUGUGUAGCAUAAGUGGGAGUUGACGAUCCCUUUGCGCAAGCAAAUUGGGGAGACCAAAGUGAAAUACCACUCUUGAUCUUGAGAACUUCUCACCUCAGGACAGUGUUUAGCGGGUAGUUUGACUGGGGCGGUCGCCUCCUAAAGAGUAACGGAGGCGCGCGAAGGUUGGCUCAGAGCGGUCGGAAAUCGCUCGUUGAGUGCAAUGGCAGAAGCCAGCCUGACUGCGAGACUGACAAGUCGAGCAGAGACGAAAGUCGGCCAUAGUGAUCCGGUGGUCCCGCGUGGGUGGGCCAUCGCUCAACGGAUAAAAGGUACGCCGGGG